UGACAGUGGUCUUAUAGCUGAUUACCAGCCGAUGUAAAGAUACAAGUAACGUUGGGCAGGAGAAGGCCGUACAGAAAGUUGACUGUUGAGAGCCUUAGGGAACCUCUUGUUUGCAUCGAGUGUUUUCAUAGAUAGCCUGUCUUAAAUUUCAGGUAAACGCUGUGACUCGAAAUUACGAAUGGACACAGUGAUUCUUUGUAUCAAACAUAUGAAAACGAUAGCUCUUCGUUACAGAUUUAUAUCUUAGCACGGUAUGUGAGGCUGAGGUCGCUGACUACAACUCGCUUGCCGCUCGCCAAUGAGGUUCCAAACUUUGCUAAGGGUGUAGAAUUCUUCGGAUAAGAAAGCCAUCCAGCUGGCUUAGGAAAGAUCGGUGCUGCCCAGGUGCUGUCACGUGAUGAAGUAAUGCCGGUUUUCUUCCUCUACCGUGAAAAAGCUGGAAGAGUCGUCAUGUGACUUAAAUUUAAAACCAAUAAACAAAACAUUUUUUAAAAAAAAAGAUCAUCAUUACAGAUGAAAAUCAUAUCUCUUUGUUACAGGUGAAAACCAGAACGCGAUUUUUCAUAGGUUUUGUUUUUUAAUGUGUUGUUUUCACUUAUUUUUGAUGUUUUUGAUUUGUCAGUUUCCGUUUAAACGAACUGUAAGCAUAUUUUUCUGUUCUGUCCCGGCGUUCGAUGUAGGAACGCUAAAUUGAUACAACUUCGCCAAAUGAUACAACUGACUUUAAAUGAUACAAAACUGACACUAAAUGGUACGACCGACGCUAAAUGAUACAAAAUCAAGGCUCACUAAAAGAUACAAAACUAAUGCUAAAUGAUACAACAUUUUUAGGCUUGCUAAAAGAUACAAACCGUCGACGCUAAAAGAUGCAAAUUUUCUAUAGUGAUGCAUAGAGAAUUUCUACAUUUGUUGACGUUUACACGAAAAUAUCUCAUUUUAUGCACGACAUGUCAAAUGGAAAUUUAAAUAUACAUGUAGUUUUGUAUGUUUCCUGUGAAAUAAACAUAUACAUGAUUCCAAUUGUAUUUUCCUGGAGUGCACACAAGUAACAUCCGUGCAUUCAUUUUAUUCUUAAAACUAAUUACAUAAACUAGUGAAAAUUGAAAGGAAGUUGAUAAGCACUGGGAUAUAAGCCGGUAAUGCAGGUCAUAUAUAUUAUACUGAGUGUAUUUUAACAGUGUUUCUUUUAAAUUCUUUGUGUUUGUGUUUUCGUUUGUUUUCUGCAUUGUGUUUUGUUGUUGUUUGUUGUUGUUGUUGUUGUUGUAGUUAUUGUCAGAUAUUGUUUCUAUGAUGUGUAUGCAAGUGUUCUGUAUCGGUGUUCGAGAAUGUUUAUUCGAGUGUAUUCGUUCUGUUCACUCAAGGUUUGGGCUUGUGUUUUGUUUAUUGCCUUUGUGGUGUUUUGAUUGUUUUGUGUGUCUUGUAUUUAGAUGACAGAGUCUUCGUUCUUUAUACAUGAUACUUUGGCGGGUUUGUUGGGGUUUUUUUUGCGGAAGCUAGUUUGGUUGUUUAUUUUUGUUUUUAUUUGUAAUAUUUCGUUAAUAACAUAUGAUUCUAAUAAAUAUUUUGUUGUUGUACCUGUUAUUAAUAAUUGUAUGUUCUAAUUCGUUUAAUGUACAUAGCAUUUGCUUCUUUCCAUACAUAAAAAUGUUUUCACAAAAUAGAGGUAUGUUUAGAUUAUUGUUAUAAUGGUAGUUUUUCUUUUUAUUUUAUAUUCAGGUAUGCAAAGGGUGUCAGAUUUUAGCUUUCUGACACAGUGGAUAUAUACGAAAAUAUCGUUCAACACUAUCAGAAUAUUUUCACAAAAUAAAGGCGUGCAAAGGGUACUAGAUGUUGGCUUCUGUCGCAAUGGAGAGGCAUGAAAACACCGUUCAGCAAGAUCAACAUAUUUUCACAAAAUAGAGGUGUGCAAAGGUGCCAGAUGUUGGUUUUUGACACAGUCGAUAUACACGAGAACAUCGUUCAGCAAGAUCAGUAUGUUUUCAUAAAAUAGAGUUACAGAGCAUGGAAGUGAGGCUAGUUUUUAGUGAAUGAAGUACAGAAACAUUCCAAAAUGGCGAAUCUUCCAGACACUGGAACACUUAAAGAACAUGAAAGCAAGGCUAUUUUUCAAUGAAUGAAAAAAAUGACAGCAGACGUGGCACGCUUCGUAGACACCAUCUAAAAUGGCGUAAUUUCCACUGACCUCAAUUACUUCUGAAUAAAGAUUACUGGAAUCAUGAAAGCUUGGUUUUACUGAAUGAAACAUAGAAAGCAGACGUCAUUGAUUUAGCAGACACAAAGUGGCGCCUUUUCCAGAGACUUGGAACUCUUCUAAAUAAAGAAUAGCAACUUGAUGUCUUUCCACAGUCACUGAUCUUACGCAGCUAGGAGAAUGGUUUACAGAAUAUGUAAGUGAGUCUAGGCGUCGUGAAUGAAAUGCAGGACGUAUCGGACAUGCGACAACUUUAAAAAAAAAAACGUCGUCCUCCGUGCAGACGUGAAAGAAUAUGGAAGGAAAAACUUAACAAUGUAAUCCACGACAAUAGAAGAAGAAGGAAAGAACAUGGUGGCGAGCGGCACCAAAAACAGGCAUGGUUGAACAGACGACAAG